GUCUACAGCUAUGUCACCCUGAAUAACCCCGAUUUCAUCUGAUCUCAGAAGCUAAGCAGGGUCGGGCCCAGUUAGUACUUGGAUGGAAGACCACCUAGAAAGAUUAGGUGCUGUAGGCG
ensembl:rRNA 5S_rRNA 5S ribosomal RNA